UACGUAGGUGGCAAGCGUUACUCGGAAUUACUAGGCGUAAAGCGCAGGUAGGUGGUGCAGUAAGUCCGUAAUGAAAUCUCCCGGCUUAACUGGGAGGGGUUUAGGGAUACUGCUGUGCUCGAGUGUGGGAGAGGUAACUGGAAUUCCUGGUGUAGCGGUGAAAUGCGUAGAGAUCAGGAGGAACACCUAUGGCGAAAGCAGGUUACUGGCCCAAUACUGACACUGAGCUGCGAAAGCUAGGGGAGCAAACAGG
rnacentral:rRNA from 1 species